AGUAACGCGUGAGGAACCUGCCUCAAAGAGGGGGACAACAGUUGGAAACGACUGCUAAUACCGCAUAAGCCCACGGCUCGGCAUCGAGCAGAGGGAAAAGGAGUGAUCCGCUUUGAGAUGGCCUCGCGUCCGAUUAGCUAGUUGGUGAGGUAACGGCCCACCAAGGCGACGAUCGGUAGCCGGACUGAGAGGUUGAACGGCCACAUUGGGGCUGAGACACGGCCCAG
rnacentral:rRNA from 1 species